CAAUAGCGUAUAUUUAAGUUGUUGCAGUUAAAAAGCUCGUAGUUGGAUUUCGGGUGGGACGCAGCGGUCUCGCAUUGCGUUUGUACUGCUGCAGCCCUCCUUCUUGCCGGGGGCGGCCUCUCGGACUUCACUGUCUGGGGGUCAGAAUCGGCGAUGUUACUUCGAGUAAAUUAGAGUGUUCAAAGCAAGCUUACGCUCUGAAUAUAAUAGCAUGGGAUAACACGACAGGACUCUGGCCUAUCGUGUUGGUCUAUAGGACCAGAGUAAUGAUUAAGAGGGACAGUCGGGGGCAUUCGUAUUCCGUUGUCAGAGGUGAAAUUCUUGGAUUUACGGAAGACGAACAUCUGCGAAAGCAUUUGCCAAGGAUGUUUUCAUUGA
rnacentral:rRNA from 1 species